AGAUCUCAGGCUACAUUAAUUUAGAAUGUUCCCCUUUUUUCUCCAGCUUCUUGUAUGCUUGGAUGGUUUUGAAGGCAAAGGUGAAGUCAUCACUAUUGCUUCUACAAAUAGACCAGACAUAUUGGACCCAGCACUUGUUCGACCAGGGCGGUUUGAUCGGAAGAUAUACAUCCCAAAACCUGGUCUAAUUGGACGAAUUGAAAUUCUUAAGGUGCACGCUCGUAAGAAGCCUAUGGCUCCUGAUGUGGACUAUAUGGCUGUUGCCAGUAUGACUGAUGGAAUGGUUGGUGCAGAGUUGGCCAACAUUGUUGAGGUCGCUGCUAUUAAUAUGAUGCGUGAUGCAAGAACUGAGAUUACAACCGAUGACUUGAUACAAGCUGCACAAAUUGAAGAACGAGGAAUGCUUGACCGGAAGGAGAGAAGCCCUGAGAUGUGGAAGCAAGUGGCUAUUAAUGAAGCAGCAAUGGCUGUGGUGGCAGUGAACUUCCCAGAUCUUAGAAAUAUUGAGUUUCUCACUGUUGCUCCAAGGGCUGGAAGAGAUCUGGGUUAUGUGCGGAUGAAAAUGGAUCACGUCAAAUUUAAGGAAGGAAUGUUGAGCCGGCAGUCGCUGUUGGAUCAUAUCACUGUUCAGAUAGCACCACGUGCUGCUGAUGAGCUCUGGUAUGGAGAGCACCAGUUCAGUACAAUAUGGGCUGAGACUG
rnacentral:misc_RNA from 1 species